UGAGAAGCUUCUCGAAGCUCCCUUGGCUCCAAGUCAGCUCCCCCUCUGCACGAAAACUGAGUGAAUCAGCUGCGCCUCUGAGAUAAGGUAUUUAAGAAGGGACGUGGUGACAAGCAGUGGGAUUUGUGAGGAGAAGUUGCCACAUCUGCGUGUACACCAAGGUCAGUGGAGGAACAUCCAGAGGAAGAAAGGAAGGGGGAGGUGUGCAGGA